GGGAACCUCAUCAGGCCCAGACACCGGAAGGUUUGACAGAUUGAGAGCUCUUUCUCGAUUCGGUUGGUGGAGCAAUUUGUCUGGUUAAUUCCGUUAACGAACGAGACCCCAGCCUGCUAAAUAAUCACGCUAAUGACUUUUCAUUGGCGAUUGGUUUCUUAGAGGGACAUGUAGUAUAAAACUACAGGAAGAUUGGGGCAAUAA
rnacentral:rRNA from 1 species